rnacentral:rRNA from 1 species
GAGUUUGAUUCUGGCUCAGGAUGAACGCUAGCGGCAGGCCUAACACAUGCAAGUCGAGGGGUAGAGCUACUUUAGUAGUUUGAGACCGGCGCACGGGUGCGUAACGCGUAUGCAAUCUACCUUAUACAGAGGGAUAGCCCAGAGAAAUUUGGAUUAAUACCUCAUAGUAUAUUUGAGUGGCAUCAUUUAGAUAUUAAAGAUUUAUCGGUAUAAGAUGAGCAUGCGUCCCAUUAGUUAGUUGGUGUGGUAACGGCAUACCAAGACGAUGAUGGGUAGGGGUCCUGAGAGGGAGAUCCCCCACACUGGUACUGAGACACGGACCAGACUCCUACGGGAGGCAGCAGUGAGGAAUAUUGGUCAAUGGAGGCAACUCUGAACCAGCCAUGCCGCGUGCAGGAAGAAUGUCCUAUGGAUUGUAAACUGCUUUUGUACGGGAAGAAAACGUGCUAUGUAUAGCAAACUGACGUACCUAGA